GACCCUAUAGAGUUUAAUAUUUUAUUAAUAAAUUAUUUUUUAGAAUUUAAUAUUAAUUUAUUAAUUAAAUAUUUGAUUGGGGUGAUUGAAAAAUUUAAGUAACUUUUUUUAUAUUUAAACAUUAAUUUAUGAUUAUUUGAUCCAUUAUUUAUGAUUAUAAGAUUAAAUUACCUUAGGGAUAACAGCGUAAUUUUUUUUAAGAGUUCAAAUCGAAAAAAAAGAUUGCGACCUCGAUGUUGGAUUAAAAUUUAUUUUUGGUGUAGAAGCUAAAUUUAUUGGGUCUGUUCGACCUUUAAAAUUUUACAUGAUCUGA
rnacentral:rRNA from 1 species